ACCUCCUUGACUUCUCCAGCACGCCCUCUUGCAUAGCCACCGCUCCUCUGGCUUUCCUGCUUCCGUGCGCCGUCUUUAACCUCGUGGGUUUGCGGUACUGGCGGCGGCAGAUGGGGGCGGCGGCUGGAUCAGGACUGUGAGGGCAGCAGAUUAAAGGGAGAGAAAGAAGCCCCGGUCUAGGUGAGUCCAUAUCCACUCUCUUCUCUCUACUCUGGUGUCUCUCUCUCUCGCAUGCUGGGGCGUGUCGCGGUCAGGACUCAGGAGAAGCAGACGGCCCGCGAUUGUUUCAGGGCGAGGCAGGCGGCUGCUGAAGGAUCUCAGCGCAAGCUCCUGCAACAAGUGAUGUAGCGUGAUGCCGACCUGAGUGGUUAUUCUGUCGGACUUCUGGCCGGAGAUGAUGCUCUACUGCUCCUCGUCGCGUCGUCUAAGCACCAAGAACCACGUCUAGACGAUGGGGUCGUUAAUGGGAGAUCGUCAUCUUAUCUAGGCAUUACUCUUGCACGCCGGCAUCAUGGCCAAGCCAGGCCUGCUGGUAAUUUGGUUCCCCUUUCAUACUUGGGUCAGCGGCGGCUGCUUGAGGGUGUACAGUGGAAGAUGACAUCCCCUUUUACCUUAAUUUUUGCACUAACCUCUUCUCUCUAUAUGCGACAUGAGCUUCAGGGUGAAAAGUGAGGACAGGACUUUGACAGUUAUAAUAUUUGUAGGUGCAUAUAUGAGUAGCUUCAUGAAUAAAGUAGAUGCAUAUGUAUUUCUUGGGCAAAUUUAUCUGUGUAUAAAUAGGUGCAUAUAGCAUAUACAUCUACUCAUAUAAGAAAUAGUUUUUGCCCCUUCAUGGAAAUUGGCUUCAUUGUGGCUCCAUAAUUAUUUUCUCUUUCUAUUUUUUAGUUAUCAUGUAUGUGAAUCACAAAACAAAAAGGUAGUUGUAUCCGCACAGUGGCCGUAUCCACACCACUGGUGACCCUGGUUUGACAUGGAACAGCCCUGGAUCACACUCUUGCAACAGAUGGUUUAGUUCACAUGGCUUCAGUUUUGGUUAUGUGAUGAGGCCAUUCCCUUCUCUCUUUUUCAGAAAUUUGAGUUCGAUUUUACAUUUCUUUCAGGCUAAUUAAGCAGAACUGAACGAUGUAUUUUUGAAUGCUUUGUGCAAUCUAUGUAUGUUCGUGGUUAUACAGGUUGGAGCCUGAAACUGAUAAUAAGCUCAGUCUUAAUCUAUGUAUUGCUUUGCAUGUUUGUUGGCAGAGAGAGAUAAAAAGAAAAAAAAACAUAUGGUGAUUGAAUUUACUUCUGCAUCUGUGGUAUUGUCCACCAAUACAACAUUUAUGAAAUAGUGAUACUGUGAUAGUAUCUUUAUUUGUCACACGCAUUGUGUUGCCCUGGAUAUAAUAUAGUUUGGUUAUAUCUUGGUAUUUACGAUUUAUGAAUCACUUCUUUUUUAUAGUUGCACUGCAAUUUUUAGGAAGUAUAUUUAUUGUUCCUUCCUGGUAGUCACCAGGUGGCAAUGGAGAGCAUGCUGGUGAACUUUCAACCUCAUCUGCUUUCGUGUUGAAGAUAUAUAGACAAAAGAGCAACACAUUGAGUAGUUACUUUAAAGUGAUGACUUUGUAAGUACAAUAUUUUAUAGUUCUAUAUAUGCAAGAGACGUUCAUGUUUUCUUAUAUGUUUGUACCUUAAUAGUUUUCUCACUUCUAUUUUAUUUUUCUCUCAAGACAAAAGGGCUCGGAACACGUGGCUAUUCCUUCCAUGUGGCACUAUUAAAAUAUGAAACAUCGUUAUUUUUGUAUGUAGCUGUAACUUUUAAGUGCUUAUGAGAUUGAAAUUAAUUCUAACCCCAUUCUCUGUGCUUAUGACAUACUAAUAAAUUGUAACCCAUUCUAUGUACUUAUAGUUUAAAGUGACUUUUUCAUAGUACAAUGGCGAGAGGAUUCCUUAUUUGGCCCUUUCUUAAAAUUUGUUUCCCUUUUUGGUCCAAAAAACUUGUUUCUUUCCUUUUUGACACUUAAACUUUAUUUUGUUCCUUAUAUGACAUUUCUGUUAGUUUUGACUAGUAACGUUG
rnacentral:lncRNA from 1 species